rfam:Sorghum bicolor cultivar BTx623 chromosome 4, whole genome shotgun sequence.
UGUUUGCUAUGAUGACUCCUAUUAGGACGGUAUCUGAAGGGGGUGAGUUUUCAUUGCAUCUCAUCUGAUUAUACCAAAACUGAAUAUGGUUUCUGAGCACAUC